CGUUUCUCGAACACUAACAUGGGAAAUAAUGCCUGCCCAGUGAAUCAAAAAAUUUUAACGGCCGCGUUAGCGUGAGCGUGCUAAGGUAGCGUAAUAAAUAGCCUUUUAAUUGGAGGCCAGUGAAUGGCAACACGGAAAACCAUUGUGUCAUGUAUGCAAAUAAAAUUUUAUUUUUGAGUGAAAAAGCUCAAAUAGCCGAGGAAGACAAAAAGACCCCGCGGAGCUUUACUUUAUCAAGCCCAACCAGUCUAACCAGAUCAGUUAUGCUAAUAAGUUUGGUUGGGGCAACCCCGGAACCUCCAAAGCUUCCGGUCAUAUUUAAGAACAAGAUCAAUAACACCUUUGGACUAAAAAGAAGCUACCCCGGGGAUAACAGCGUAAUCCAACUCAAGAGUACGCAUCGAAAGUUGGGUUUGCGACCUCGAUGUUGGCUUAAGGUAAUUCACAUAAGCGCAGCCGCUAUGACAGAAUAGUCUGUUCGACUAUUAUACCCUU
rnacentral:rRNA from 1 species